rnacentral:rRNA from 1 species
AUACGGAGGGGACUAGCGUUGUUCGGAAUUACUGGGCGUAAAGCGUACGUAGGCGGAUCAGAAAGUAUGGUGUGAAAUCCCAGGGCUCAACCCUGGAACUGCCUCAUAAACUCCUGGUCUUGAGUUCGAGAGAGGUGAGUGGAAUUCCGAGUGUAGAGGUGAAAUUCGUAGAUAUUCGGAGGAACACCAGUGGCGAAGGCGGCUCACUGGCUCGAUACUGACGCUGCGGUACGAAAGUGUGGGGAGCAAACAGGAUUAGAAACCCUAGUAGUCC